rnacentral:rRNA from 2 species
CUGUCCAUCCAAACUCAUUCAUUUACUGCGAAAGAUGUACAAAGGUUGCAAGAAGCAAUACUCACUAAUUUUGAGAUUGAAACUUUAACUCACAAAAAUAAGGGUAGAGAUAUAAUUUAUUUUCCUAAACAAAGUUUGAGUAAACUUCGAAAACAAGUUUUCAAAUUCAUUUUACCGGAAUUUAAAUAUAAAUUUCUUCCUUAUUCAGCGAGAAUACAGACCCCGUAGAGACUACAUGUCGGGACCCAAUCCCAUUAGAUAAAUUAUCUAACGGGACGGGUUAUGAUAUAGUCCGAGCUGCAUAGUAAUAUGUAGAAUCUUGCAGAAAUGACAAGAUCUUCUCUAUUAAUUAGAGAAUGUAACAAUAUAGUAGAGACCCCUGUAGUCCUAGCCGUAAACUAUGUCCGCUAGCUUUUUUCUCCCGCUUAGCGGGAGAGGGGCGUAAGCUAACGCGUGAAGCGGACCGCCUGGGGAGUACGAACGCAAGUUUAAAACUCAAAGGAAUUGACGGGGACCUGCACAACCAGUGGAUUAUGUGGUUUAAUUCGAGACAAACCGAAGAACCUUACCUGGACUUGACAUGCUAUCGUUUUAGUUCUGAUGAAAAUUGGGAUGAUCCUAAAUUUAUUUGGGAUGAUAGCACAGGUGUUGCAUGGCCGUCGUCAGCUCGUGCCGUGGGGUGUUCCCUUAAGUGGGGUAACGAGCGCAACCCCUGUCCUAUGUUGAAUAAUCAUAGGAGACUUUUUGAUCUUUGUAUCAGAAGGAAGUGGGGACGACGUCAGGUCAGCAUGGCCCUUAUGUCCAGGGCUACACACAUAAUACAAUGGCAUCGACAAUGGGUUGCCAAGCCGUAAGGCGGAGCUAAUCCCAUAAACGAUGUCUCAGUGGGGAUUGAGGGCUGCAAUUCGCCCUCAUGAACGCGGAAUUGGUAGUAAUCGGGAGUCAGCUAAAUCCCGGUGAAUACGUUCUCAGGUCUUGUACACACCGCCCGUCAAGGCAGUAAAGUUAGGGGCACCCGAAUUCCGAGUGAUCGGAAGAAGGUGAAACUAGCGAUAAGGCUUAAGUCGUAACAAGGUAUCCGUUCUGGAAGGAGCGGAUG